rnacentral:rRNA from 1 species
AGCGGCGGACGGGUGAGUAACACGUGGGCAACCUGCCCUGCAGAUCGGGAUAACUCCGGGAAACCGGUGCUAAUACCGAAUAGUUUGCGGCCUCUCCUGAGGCUGCACGGAAAGACGGUUUCGGCUGUCACUGCAGGAUGGGCCCGCGGCGCAUUAGCUAGUUGGUGGGGUAAUGGCCUACCAAGGCGACGAUGCGUAGCCGACCUGAGAGGGUGAUCGGCCACACUGGGACUGAGACACGGCCCAGACUCCUACGGGAGGCAGCAGUAGGGAAUCUUCCGCAAUGGACGAAAGUCUGACGGAGCAACGCCGCGUGAGUGACGAAGGUUUUCGGAUCGUAAAACUCUGUUGUGAGGGAAGAACAAGUGCCAACUAACUACUGGCACCUUGACGGUACCUCACCAGAAAGCCACGGCUAACUACGUGCCAGCAGCCGCGGUAAUACGUAGGUGGCAAGCGUUGUCCGGAAUUAUUGGGCGUAAAGCGCGCGCAGGCGGUCCUUUAAGUCUGAUGUGAAAGCCCACGGCUCAACCGUGGAGGGUCAUUGGAAACUGGAGGACUUGAGUGCAGAAGAGGAAAGUGGAAUUCCAUGUGUAGCGGUGAAAUGCGUAGAGAUGUGGAGGAACACCAGUGGCGAAAGCGACUUUCUGGUCUGUAACUGACGCUGAGCGCGAAAGCGUGG